UUGGAGGGCAAGUCUGGUGCCAGCAGCCGCGGUAAUUCCAGCUCCAAUAGCGUAUAUUAAAGUUGUUGCAGUUAAAAAGCUCGUAGUUGAAUUUCGGGAUUCUACCGUUGGUCGGGCUAACAAGUCUGUACUGGUGUGUAGAAUUUCUACCUUCUGGGGAACUAUCAUGUUAUUAAUUUAGCGUGGUGGGAAACCAGGACCUUUACCUUGAAAAAAUUAGAGUGUUCAAAGCAGGCUUACGUCUGAAUACAUUAGCAUGGAAUAAUAGAAUAGGACGGUGGUCCUGUUUUGUUGGUUUCUGAAUCACCGUAAUGAUUAAUAGGGAUAGUUGGGGGCAUUAGUAUUCAAUUGUCAGAGGUGAAAUUCUUGGAUUUAUUGAAGACCAACUUCUGCGAAAGCAUUUGCCAAGGAUGUUUUCAUUAAUCAAGAACGAAAGUUAGGGGAUCGAAGACGAUCAGAUACCGUCGUAGUCUUAACCAUAAACUAUGCCGACUAGGGAUCGGACGAUGUUAAAUUUUAUUGACUCGUUCGGCGCCUUACGGGAAACCAAAGUGUUUGGGUUC
rnacentral:rRNA from 1 species